UACGGAGGGUGCGAGCGUUAAUCGGAAUUACUGGGCGUAAAGCGCACGUAGGCGGUCAGGCAAGUCGGGUGUGAAAGCCCUGGGCUCAACCUGGGAAUUGCAUUCGAAACUAUCUGACUCGAGUAUGGGAGAGGGAAGCGGAAUUUCCGGUGUAGCGGUGAAAUGCGUAGAUAUCGGAAGGAACACCAGUGGCGAAGGCGGAGUCCUGGACCAACACUGACACUGAGGAGCGAAAGCCAGGGGAGCAAACGGG
rnacentral:rRNA from 1 species